rnacentral:rRNA from 1 species
UAGUCGGACGGGCCCCGCACAAGCAGCGGAGCGUGUGUUUAAUUCGAUGCUACACAAGACCUUACCAGGGUUUGACAUACAAGUAGUAGGGAAAGGAACUGGACCGACCCUUCGGGGAGCUUGAACAGGUGCUGCAUGGCUGUCGUCAGCUCGUGUCGUGAGAUGUUCGGUUAAGUCCGCUAACGAGCGCAACCCUCGCUGUGUGUUACAAGUGUCACACGGAACUGCCGGUCAUAAACCGGAGGAAGGUGGGGAUGACGUCAAGUCAGCAUGGCCUUUACGGCCUGGGCUACACACGUGCUACAAUGGUCGGUACAAAGGGUUGCCAAGCCGCGAGGUGGAGCUAAUCCCAUAAAACCGAUCGUAGUCCGGAUCGCAGUCUGCAACUCGACUGCGUGAAGUCGGAAUCGCUAGUAAUCGUGAAUCAGAAUGUCACGGUGAAUACGUUCCCGGGCCUU